rnacentral:rRNA from 1 species
AACGCGAAGAACCUUACCAAGGUUUGACAUGGCCGGAAAAGCCGCAGAGAUGUGGUGUCCUUCGGGGUCGGUCACAGGUGGUGCAUGGCUGUCGUCAGCUCGUGUCGUGAGAUGUUGGGUUAAGUCCCGCAACGAGCGCAACCCUCGUCCUAUGUUGCCAGCGGGUAAUGCCGGGGACUCAUGGGAGACUGCCGGGGUCAACUCGGAGGAAGGUGGGGAUGACGUCAAGUCAUCAUGCCCCUUAUGUCUUGGGCUGCAAACAUGCUACAAUGGCCGGUACAGAGGGCUGCGAACUCGCGAGAGUAAGCGAAUCCCGGAAAGCCGGUCUCAGUUCGGAUCGGGGUCUGCAACUCGGCCCCGUGAAGCUGGAGUCGCUAGUAAUCGCGGAUCAGCAACGCCGCGGUGAAUACGUUCCCGGGCCUUGUA